rnacentral:rRNA from 1 species
UACGAAGGGUGCGAGCGUUGUCCGGAAUCACUGGGCGUAAAGGGCGCGUAGGCGGCUCAUGAAGGCUGUGGUGAAAGUCCGGGGCUCAACCUCGGAUCGGCCGUGGCGACUCGUGGGCUGGAGCACUGUAGAGGCGGGUGGAAUUCCGGGUGUAGCGGUGGAAUGCGUAGAGAUCCGAGAAGACACCAGUGGCGAAGGCGGCCCGCUGGGCAGUGGCUGACGCUGAGGCGCGACAGCGUGGGGAGCAAACAGG